AUGGAAGGGUAGACAAAACGAAAUCAUUCAAUCGCGGAGCCGUCCUCGAGCUAUAGAAGUCAGAUCACUAAAAACCAUAUCUUGAAAACUAAGACGAGAAGGGAUUAUCGAUGGUAAGCCAACGACGAGGAAAACAACUUCAAAGACGACUAAACUCUGACCCAACCCAAGGAGAUGCAGUUCCUAACAUGAGCCGAAAUCUAAGGAAAAAGAGGAGAAAAAGGUGAGGAAAAACAAGAGGACAUAUGUGAGUCUUUUUCGGUGAUGGCGAGAAUCACAGCAUAACGGAAAAGGUAAACGAAAUGCAUAGAUGGUGACGGCUCAAUGUAAAAAUAUAGGGAGAGAGCACAAAACAUCUUUAAAAGGUAAUGUUCAAAUAAUUAGAAAAAAUAUAAAUUUUUACCCUGAAACUAUUAGCUUUAAAUUCAACAAAUGCCUAAAUAUAAAAUUAUUGAAAUUCAAUAUGCAUUACAUCACAAACUCACUCCACCACUAAUAAGGUACUAUUAUACCCACA
rnacentral:lncRNA from 1 species